GCUGCUGUGGCUCAGUGUACAGUGUCUGCUCAUCGUUAUUAAGGACACGCAGUUUGUGAGGAAGACGUGGGUUCGAGUCCCACUAGCGGCA